GGCGGGGUAGCUCAGCUGGUUAGAGCAGAGGAAUCAUAAUCCUCGUGUCGGGGGUUCGAGUCCCUCUCCCGCUA
rnacentral:tRNA from 1 species